AUAUACUUUUACAUCUGAUUCUGUCUGAAAACAUAUUUGUAUUUAGAGGUAAAAAUGUAAAAGUGAUACACACUGCACCUUUUUUCUGAACGUAUUGUUGUUCACACACAUUUGUCUCAUAUGUCUUAGAAAAGCAAGGAAGCUCAGGAAGCUGAGUCCAUGACAGAGGGAAAGCAGACUGGAGAGCUUUUUAAACCAUUGACUAAGUUGUUAACUGAUGUUCUGCCUUGUCCGUUUGUAUUCAUUUUCAGCAAAGACAAGCCGUCUUAGAUGUCCCCCUGAACUGCUGCACAAGCAUUCAAUGUAAACCCACAUUUAAAAAAAGAACGUGGAAGAGAAGUCCAGAGACAGAGCGAAAGGAGACAGCAUGCAGUUCCCCCCACCCCCCAAUCUGCACCAGAUCAUGCAUUAUGCUUCUGCUUUUGCAGUCAUAUGAAAUAAAUGGUUACACACUGUUCAUUUAAA